AGACAUGAGACUGUAUUACGAAGCAGCAUGUCUGUGUUGGAUAAAAGAAUGGGUAAAGCUGGAGAAUAAAGAACUACUAGAUUUGGAAGGGCACAAUAAUAGAUUUGGGUGGCAUGCGUAUCUAUGGAGGGAUAAAAAGAGAGUGCAUAAAGAAUUUUGUAGCCACAUCUUUAAAGGUCCACUAAUAGAGGUCUGGGACAGAUAUAAAAAUAUAUUAGAACCGAAAACCCCACAUUGGCUAUCCCCGUUGGAGAUAAUAAGUGUAAAGAAAGUUAAUAUGAGAGAAAAGUGGGGAAAGUAUGGAGAAAUGGUUACUAAUGAAGGAGGGAAGUGGAAAGUAAAAUCAUACGAUCAGGUUAAAGUAUUUACAUAUGACUGGCUGCACUAUUUUCAGAUAAAUGAAAUGUUUAAAGAAGAGGUGAAGGAAAGGGGUUACGAGGAAAAGGAAUCGGAAUUUC